rnacentral:rRNA from 1 species
CGCGUAGGCGGUCGGGUAAGUCGGGUGUGAAAUUCCGGGGCUCAACCCCGUGGACUGCAUCCGAUACUGCUCGACUAGAGAGAGGUAGGGGCGAGUGGAAUUCCCGGUGUAGCGGUGGAAUGCGUAGAUAUCGGGAAGAACACCGGUGGCGAAGGCGGCUCGCUGGGCCUCGUCUGACGCUGAAGCGCGAAAGCGUGGGAGCAAACA